AAUCACCCCUCCAGGAGUCUCUUAAUCUAGUCAAGUUAACAACUGAGAUUAACUGGGACAGCUGGUGAUGAAAGGGGAGGCAUGCCUUCCUAGCAUGCCAAUGGCCCUGGGUUCAAUCCCCAGCACCACUGCCACCCAUUCCUUGAUUAACUUCUUAGGAUGAAAUGUUUCAAACAUCCACAAAUACAGUGGUUAAAGCUGCAUUUUAAACCAGGCCUCAUUUCACCAGUUCUGGAUUGCUGGCCCCCAACCUCCCCACUUGGAUCAGAAUCAAGGCAAUGAGUGGUGAUGAUGAUAAUUGUCAUAAUAAUAGCAUGACAACAGCUAACAUUACUGCCUACUGGGGCUUAUGCUAAUAACUAAAAAGUCCCUGAAACCUAAACAGCCCCACAAGCAAUAUAAGUUCACGGUAAACAACUGGAGGAAAUCAGAACGUCAUUUAGAAGAUAAGAUUAUUCUUCUCCCCGAGAUGACCACUUCUGAUAUCAUGGCGAAUGUCUCCUAGCCUUUUUAUUUUCUAUUCAUAAUCAUCAUAAUGACAUCCCCCAGCCAUAGGAUUUGCUUUUUCACUUUGCUAAAUGUUUGAUCCUGUGCUAAGUAUCUUGCGCACAUCAUUUCAUUUAACUCUCAGUACAAUCAAAUUUUAUUUACACACAUACUUUGCACGUGUGUGUGCACACAUCUAUUUUACGGAUAGAAAACAGGUACAGAGAGGUAAAGUAGUUAGUAUAGGGUCACCCAACUGGUUAAUAAUACAGCCACAUUCAAACUCACAACUAUUUCACUCCAAUAAUUUGAACUGUUUCCUUACAACUUUCUGAAACAG
rnacentral:lncRNA from 1 species